UAGGGAAUCUUCCGCAAUGGGCGAAAGCCUGACGGAGCAACGCCGCGUGAGUGAUGAAGGUCUUCGGAGCGUAAAACUCUGUUAUUAGGGAAGAACAAAUGUGUAAGUAACUAUGCACGUCUUGACGGUACCUAAUCAGAAAGCCACGGCUAACUACGUGCCAGCAGCCGCGGUAAUACGUAGGUGGCAAGCGUUAUCCGGAAUUAUUGGGCGUAAAGCGCGCGUAGGCGGUUUUUUAAGUCUGAUGUGAAAGCCCACGGCUCAACCGUGGAGGGUCAUUGGAAACUGGAAAACUUGAGUGCAGAAGAGGAAAGUGGCAUUCCAUGUGUAGCGGUGAAAUGCGCAGAGAUAUGGAGGAACACCAGUGGCGAAGGCGACUUUCUGGUCUGUAACUGACGCUGAUGUGCGAAAGCGUGGGGAUCAAACAGG
rnacentral:rRNA from 1 species